ACGACCUUACUUGAAUAGGAUCUCUUCUAUAGGCUCGUACCUUUGUAUCCUUGAGUUCUAAGGAGACAGGAUUCCAAGUCUGGUUGAUGAACUGAGGCUGUGUGAUCAGAGCGUGAUUACUGGUCUGGGUUACUAAGUGUCGGCAAUCCUUGACCGCGGUUGUUCCCAUUUCGUCUUGUCUUGCUGGGAUUGUCACGCAGCUGUCUGACAGGCU